rnacentral:rRNA from 1 species
CUACGGGAGGCAGCAGUGGGGAAUAUUGCACAAUGGGCGCAAGCCUGAUGCAGCCAUGCCGCGUGUGUGAAGAAGCUUCGGGUGUAAAGCACUUUCAGUCGUGAGGAAGGUAGUGUAGUUAAUAGCUGCAUUAUUUGACGUUAGCGACAGAAGAAGCACCGGCUAACUCCGUGCCAGCAGCCGCGGUAAUACGGAGGGUGCGAGCGUUAAUCGGAAUUACUGGGCGUAAAGCGCAUGCAGGUGGUUUGUUAAGUCAGAUGUGAAAGCCCGGGGCUCAACCUCGGAAUUGCAUUUGAAACUGGCAGACUAGAGUACUGUAGAGGGGGGUAGAAUUUCAGGUGUAGCGGUGAAAUGCGUAGAGAUCUGAAGGAAUACCGGUGGCGAAGGCGGCCCCCUGGACAGAUACUGACACUCAGAUGCGAAAGCGUGGGGAGCAAACAGGAUUAGAUACCCUGGUAGUCCACGCCGUAAACGAUGUCUACUUGGAGGUUGUGGCCUUGAGCCGUGGCUUUCGGAGCUAACGCGUUAAGUAGACCGCCUGGGGAGUACGGUCGCAAGAUUAAAACUCAAAUGAAUUGACGGGGGCCCGCACAAGCGGUGGAGCAUGUGGUUUAAUUCGAUGCAACGCGAAGAACCUUACCUACUCUUGACAUCCAGAGAACUUUCCAGAGAUGGAUUGGUGCCUUCGGGAACUCUGAGACAGGUGCUGCAUGGCUGUCGUCAGCUCGUGUUGUGAAAUGUUGGGUUAAGUCCCGCAACGAGCGCAACCCUUAUCCUUGUUUGCCAGCGAGUAAUGUCGGGAACUCCAGGGAGACUGCCGGUGAUAAACCGGAGGAAGGUGGGGACGACGUCAAGUCAUCAUGGCCCUUACGAGUAGGGCUACACACGUGCUACAAUGGCGCAUACAGAGGGCAGCCAACUUGCGAAAGUGAGCGAAUCCCAAAAAGUGCGUCGUAGUCCGGAUUGGAGUCUGCAACUCGACUCCAUGAAGUCGGAAUCGCUAGUAAUCGUGGAUCAGAAUGCCACGGUGAAUACGUUCCCGGGCCUUGUACACACCGCCCGUCACACCAUGGGAGUGGGCUGCAAAAGAAGUAGGUAGUUUAACCUUCGGGGGGACGCUUACCACUUUUUACGGG